GAUGAACGCUGGCUACAGGCUUAACACAUGCAAGUCGAGGGGAAACGACGGGGAAGCUUGCUUCCCCGGGCGUCGACCGGCGCACGGGUGAGUAACGCGUAUCCAACCUGCCUCUGACUGAGGGAUAACCCGUCGAAAGUCGGCCUAAUACCUCAUGGUAUCGUCUGCGGUCAUCCAACGACGAUUAAAGAUUUCAUCGGUCAGGGAUGGGGAUGCGUUUGAUUAGCUUGUUGGCGGGGUAACGGCCCACCAAGGCUACGAUCAGUAGGGGUUCUGAGAGGAAGGUCCCCCACAUUGGAACUGAGACACGGUCCAAACUCCUACGGGAGGCAGCAGUGAGGAAUAUUGGUCAAUGGGCGAGAGCCUGAACCAGCCAAGUAGCGUGCAGGAAGACGGCACUAUGGGUUGUAAACUGCUUUUAUGCGGGGAUAAAGUGAGGGACGUGUCCCUCAUUGCAGGUACCGCAUGAAUAAGGACCGACUAAUUCCGUG
rnacentral:rRNA from 1 species